GACGAACGCUGGCGGCGUGCUUAACACAUGCAAGUCGAACGGAAAGGCCCUGCUUUUGUGGGGUGCUCGAGUGGCGAACGGGUGAGUAACACGUGAGUAACCUGCCCUUGACUUUGGGAUAACUUCAGGAAACUGGGGCUAAUACCGGAUAGGAGCUCCUGCUGCAUGGUGGGGGUUGGAAAGUUUCGGCGGUUGGGGAUGGACUCGCGGCUUAUCAGCUUGUUGGUGGGGUAGUGGCUUACCAAGGCUUUGACGGGUAGCCGGCCUGAGAGGGUGACCGGCCACAUUGGGACUGAGAUACGGCCCAGACUCCUACGGGGGGCAGCAGCGGGGAAUAUUGCACAAUGGGCGGAAGCCUGAUGCAGCAACGCCGCGUGCGGGAUGACGGCCUUCGGGUUGUAAACCGCUUUCGCCUGUGACGAAGCGUGAGUGACGGUAAUGGGUAAAGAAGCACCGGCUAACUACGUG
rnacentral:rRNA from 1 species